ensembl:snoRNA
UGCCUUCAGUUCUACCCAUUCAUCUUGGUUACUAAUGAAUGUGGUGUCGAAAAGGCAUAAAGUAAGUUUCCCCUUGCAGCUUCUUCCUAAUCUAGGAGUUAUUCCUACUGGAUUUGCUGUGUGGGGGACAUUA